GACGGGGCCCGCACAAGCGGUGGAGCAUGUGGUUUAAUUCGAUGCAACGCGAAGAACCUUACCUACUCUUGACAUCCAGAGAAUUUGCUAGAGAUAGCUUAGUGCCUUCGGGAACUCUGAGACAGGUGCUGCAUGGCUGUCGUCAGCUCGUGUUGUGAAAUGUUGGGUUAAGUCCCGCAACGAGCGCAACCCUUAUCCUUUGUUGCCCGCGAGUAAUGUCGGGAACUCAAAGGAGACUGCCGGUGAUAAACCGGAGGAAGGUGGGGAUGACGUCAAAUCAUCAUGCCCCUUAUGUCUUGGGCUUCACGCAUGCUACAAUGGCCGGUACAAAGGGCUGCGAUACCGCGAGGUGGAGCGAAUCCCAGAAAGCCGGUCUCAGUUCGGAUUGGGGUCUGCAACUCGACCCCAUGAAGUCGGAGUCGCUAGUAAUCGCAGAUCAGCAACGCUGCGGUGAAUACGUUCCCGGGCCUU
rnacentral:rRNA from 1 species